rfam:Gorilla gorilla gorilla genomic chromosome, chr22, whole genome shotgun sequence
UAUUAGUUUGGUGCAAAAGUAAUUGCGGUUUUUGCCACUGAAAGUAGUGGCAAAAACCGCAAUUAUUUUUGCACCAAACUAAUA